rnacentral:tmRNA from 1 species
GGGGGUGCACUGGUUUCGACCAUGGUAGUUGACUUGAGAGAAGCGAGCCGAGUUCCUCAAACACUCGUUAAACAUUUGGGAAACUAAUGUAACUGCUAACGAUAAUGUUGCAGUAGCUGCUUAAUAGAAAGUAGCCGUCAUACUCAGACUUGCCUGUGGUUUGGGAUAUGGCGUCGAUCAGCAGGCUUACUUUCUUUCCGAUACCUGUAGGAUAGAAAGGAAAUUUUACGGGUUGGCUGGUUAGUUUAUCUGCUUGAGGAUUGCUGCUAGCGAGAUCUAAUCUCAAGCUACGCUCGUAGAAUCCUUGACUGAUUGCUUUGGGACGUCGGUUCGACUCCGACCACCUCCACUA